ensembl:lncRNA
GAAGAACAACAAGGUUUCACGGCUUGGGCCUGCUCAUGAGCAAGACUUCAAAUUUAACUUAAAAACGUUGUUUUGGCGCCAAGCUGCUGUUUCUUUGAGAGAUCCUGGCCUUUACCUGCUCCCUCCUAUACUGAUGUGGUGUAUGUGGUACUGCUGAGCUUGUAUGUGGUGGAAGCAGAAUUUGUGAGGAUUACUACUGCUCCACUUGUUCCAAGGCUUUUUGCACAACUUGACCAAUACACUGACCAGCUCAUAAAAGUCUUCAAGAAAAAAGGAGGCGCUGCAGUGAAGUAAAUUAGACAAAUUUUGGCCCCAGCCACAAAUAAGGAAACUAUUGAAAAGGGGAGGGAGUGUGUCCUCAGGGCACUACCUUUCUACCUGAAUGAAGACCCAACCAUCCUCUUCAAAGAAUAAUUGCUACAGCUACAGCUGUUCAGAGGAGCUGGAACAAAUUACCCUUGCUGUCUUCACCAUCGAAAAAGCUGAUGUCAGCACUCCUCCAGCCGAUGUGGGUAUAACCAUCUAGGGUGUUCUGCAUGACCUGGAAAACAUGGCCUUUGAAGUACUUCAGAAGCUCUUCCUUCAUCUGUAUGUCAGCAGACUCUUGACCAAGAGAAACACACCACCACACCUCCAACCUCUAUCCUUGAAUAUCCACCUGCAGUGAGAACAUCAGAGCAAACAGGCUCAGAGCUUUUCAGCAGGAUGUUCAGGUGAAGCUUGGAGAUGACGUCACUCUCCAGUGUCAGGUUUCCACAGAUGAAAUAAUCUCAGUGCUGAAGUGGAGCAGAGCUGACCUGAACACAGACGGCUACGUCUACUUCUACAGGAACAAACGCUCCUAUGAAAACUACCAACAUCCAUCUUUUCAUGGUCGAGUGAAGCUGAGGGACCCGGAGAUGAAGGAUGGAGACGUUUCUCUGAUCCUGAAGAAAGUCACGUUUAAUGACACUGGGAUUUAUGAGUGUCACGUAGCAGUGAGGAACCCUGUGAGAAGUAAAAGAGUUCACACUGAGAUCAGUCGCUUCAUCAACCUCACAGUCACAGGUGAAACACAUGAAAGCGUGUCAGAGAAACGAGUCGUGGAAAGAGGAGACGCAGAUGAAAACAUGGAUGGUACUGAAAGGGUCGGAGCUCCAUCUCUUCAGUUUUCUGUGACCAAUUUUGAGGAACUUCCUUCUGACCUAUUGAAAAAACAACAGGGUGUAUGGACUUUGUCAGUGGAUAAUUUUUCCAUCCUGAUGAUCAGAAGAGUGUUUGAGGGUUUCAGAGAUCCUUCAGAUCAACAGUAUUUGUUUGUCACAUGUCUGGACUUGCAGCUGCUCAAACAGGACAAACAAAGGUGGGGGUGAAAAUGUUGAUGCAGGUCACAGAUGUCUGAUAUAAAACAGCUGACAGAAAAUACAGGUUAGUUUAGUCUGCAGCUGUUUGAUACAGACAUACCUUUACUUUGGGAUUUUAAACUUUUACAUUUUUUAUGAUUUGAUUUUUUUUUAUUUCUCAAAUAUUUACAUCUGAGUAACUUUUUACUUCUUUGUAACAAAACUUCAGUCGCUUCCUUUUCACCUACUGAAAAACCGAUGGGACAUACUGACCUCACAGUUUUUUAUCUGUCAGUAGAUCAUUUUAUUUUUUCCACUCUGAUGAUCAGAAGAGUGUUUGAGUGUUUCAGAGAUCCUUCAGAACAACAGUAAGUGUUUAAUAUGACAUCUUUAAGUCUUCUAAGUAAUCUGACAGGUUGACUGAUUUCACAGGCAGUGUUGAGUGGGAGUUUCUCUUUAUAUGUUUGUGUUAGUGGAAAAUGUGAUGGAACUUUCCCUGCAGUGCGAUCAGCUGUGGUCAAUCUUUUUAAUUAUUGCACACAGGACAGCUAAACAGACAGCGAACAUCACUGUCCCACAGUCGGGAGAGCUCUGCCCUUGAGACGCCACAGGUUCCUGCUGACCCAAUGAAAAUGCUGAUGGGGAAUACCAGCCUCACACUUUUCUGUCACUGGAUAAUUUUUCCAUCCUGAUGAUCAGAAGAACAACCAGAAAAACAUCACAGCAAAGUCUGGACAGAACGUCACUCUGACAUGUCGAGCUCCAAACAGCAACAUUGGAGUUAUAGAGUGGAGCAGAACUGACCUGAAGGAAGAAUAUGUCCUUUUGUACCGAGAUGGACACUUAGAUCAAGAUCACCAGCAUCCAUCUUUUAAGAACCGGUCGGAUCUGCAGGACAGACAGAUGAAGGAUGGAGACGUGUCUGUGAUUCUGAAAUAUGUGACGAUUAAUGACACUGGAACAUACAAGUGUUGUGUCCAGAAAGACGGAGACAGUUUGAAGCUCAUCUGCAACAUCACCCUGAGUGUUGAUCCUCCAGGUCAGACAGGAGGAGACACGGAGGAUGGAGGGAAGGAGGAUGGAUCUGUUCUGAAAGUUGGUCUUCCAGUUGGGGUUAUUGUUGCUGCUGCUGUUGUUGUUGUUGUGUGCUACAGACGAUAUAAACAGAGUCUGGAUUCACAUCGUCCUAAUGCAGAACCAUAGACUGAAAUGUCUGAGAGCUUCCUGAACUCUGAAUCUUCUGCUGCUGAACACAAAGACAAAUGAUCUGAAAACAGACACCAUCACUUCAGAAGGAUCCACGAUUUCACUCUAAUAUUUGACAAUGAACCGUUUCAUCGUCAUCCUCUGCAGAAAACAGCAUAACUGCUUGAUAAUGUCUGACAGCAGUUUGAAGAGGAAAUGGAUUCUGUUCUGUUCUUCACUCAUCACCUACCUGACAGCUGACACCUCACACCUGUUUCUCACCUGCAGGUCAAGGAGGAGACACAGAGGACGGGUCUGUUGGACUAAUAGUUGGUCUCUUAGUUUCUGCUAUGGUUUCUGUUGUUGUUGUUGUUGGUUUUCUGAUCUAUAGAAAACAUCAGAAAGGUGUUUUAUAACUGAGCUGUUAAAUCUCACUGUCACAUGACACAUGACUUGUUGAUCAGCUCCAGCUGAAUGAAUGUUAUAAUGAACAGUGUUAUGAAAUUAUUUCCAUGGAGCUGCAGAGUCAGAUGUUUCCUCUCCGAUCUGUGAAACUUUGAACUUUUCCUACAGUGAAGGAAAAUCUUCAGUCUGUUGUUGCAGUUUAAACCAGAUCACACAUUAGUUUAACAUUUAACAAUGUUUUUUGUGACUUUUCUUGUUCAUUUCUUAUAAAUUUUGAAAGAUCAGUCCUGAAUUGUUUCUAUUAAUUUUCUUUAAUUCUUAAAUUUUUUGUUUUCUGUGGCCGUAAAAGAUGAAAGAAGUUUUCUGACCUUUUCCUGCAGAUUUUAUCUGACCUGAAUGAGUCCAAACAGACCACUGAACAUGUGUGAAGGAAAAAAACACACAAUAAAAAUGCUCUUUGAAACCGUUUCCC